UGAUCCUUUUAUAGGGAACAAGAUAUGUCUCAAUCUGCACUCUACUCAGAGCCUGUGGGCAUGGCAUGGGCAGCCCUCCUUACUCCAAAUCACUUUCCACCCAAAACUCCGAUCACAUAAUGAGAGAAGCCAGCGCAGGAGGCACUCACCCGCAGAAGAAAAGCUUCCUUGAAGAACCUGAAUAUGGAGUUGAAGCUUUUCCAUGAGGUCAGCUCGUGGCGCUCAGUGCCUGUGAAGAGACAGAGGAGAGGUGGAAUGAAUCUGAAAAAAAUACAAAAAAUUAUACCAACGGGCAUAUACAUAAAGCAAUGAAGAUGCUUCUCAUUGAUGAUGAAUUAGUCACUGUCCUUCAAAAUAUAAGCACAAAAGAGAUUAAUCUGCACUGAAUUGAUGAAUAUCAGAUUAACCACCAAGAUUUACAUAUUAUAUAUUUACUCGCCUUCCAGGACAUUUUUUUUUUUUUCACAUCUUCAUUUUUUUCUACAGGUGCUAUGUUGAAAUGUUUAUGUCUUGUUCCCAUGUUAUUCACACUGUUGAUUUGGAAAAAACGCUCUGUGAAGUAUUCUCUCUUUUCACCAUGUUCACUAUACAAUCCUGUGAUACCUGCCA